GACAAAUCCCCUGGAUAAGUCAGAUGUAUUAGCACGUUCUGCACCAAAAUUAGAAUCGAACGAGUUCAUAGCAUCAGAGGAAUCACACUCAGUGUUAAUUAAUGAUUGCUUAAGCGGCUCACGAGAAUAAGUACGAUAUUUCGCGCCUAACCGUGUUAAUUUAAAAGGAACAGGUUUUGUUCGAUCGUGUCCCAUUGAAUUGAGUAUAUCGUUACCAAUAGGCCAUAAACGAACAUGGUGAUCCUUGGACCAAGUGAUCAAUUGAAAAUCUCUUAAAUCUCUAUCAAAUACAUCUUCGCCUCGACACCUCCAAAGAAAUUCUUUAACUUGAUCGGUAUGACCGGCAAAUCUAUGUACAGCACGGGGGCCUUCUUUGUCUAAAUUACGACAAUCGUACAUGUGUACGGAAUUGUCUCCUCUCUGAGGCAUCAAAAUAACUCCGUCCCCGAAU